UAAAAUGGGAAGAAACUAAGUUGAUCUACCUGGUAUCAAGUAACAUGAGGAUGUAACCUAGAGUAUUUGUACUCACACCUCAGCUGUUGAUCAUUACCAGACACAGAAGAUCGGUUUUGAUGCACCGAGGAGCUGAGCUAACGCUACCAGCUUUUAUGAGAGCACCCGAUCUUACUGGCUAAUUACAGACAUUUGAAAUUGAUUCUGUGUGAAGGCAAGCAACAGCUGGUAUAUUCAAACCUGCAUCAAGCAGCCCUUGUACGUAUAAUUGCUACAACUGAAAACUAACAGAACCCCUAGAAAAAUGAGUCUGUAAGGGAAUACUGGGAAUAAUUCAAACACAAUCAUAGUAAUUUAUGCAGAAACAAACACAAACAAAUGACAGGCUGAUAGAGAAGCCUGGAAAAGAGAAGGGUCCAAGGAGACCUUAUAGCCUUCCUGUACCUGAAGGGACCUACAGGAAAGCUGGAGAGGGACUUUUUAGAAGGGCACAUAGUGACAGGAUGAGGGGAAAUGGUUUCAAACUGGAAGAGGGUAGAUUUAGACUGGAUAUCAGGAAGAAAUUCUUUACUGUGAGGGUAGUGAGACACUGGAACAGGUUGUGUUCACAGUGAGGUUGUGGAUGCCCCCUCCCUGGAAGCAUUCAAGGCCAGGCUGGGUGGGGCUUUGAACAACCUGGUCUAGAGGGAGGUGUGCCUGCAUAUAGCAGCAGGAUGGAACUACAUGAUCUUAAAUGUCCCUUCCAACCCAAAUCAUUCUGUGAUUCUGCGAUUCUGUAAUUCUAGUUGUCUCCCUUGCUUUUGGCUGCCAUCAGUAAGCACUGAGAUCAGGAACUGGUGCUGAGGUGAGACAGGAAUGCUGGCUUAGGAUCUCCUUCUGGCCUUGGAAUCUGGAAGUGCUCUAUUAGUCUCAUGGCAAAGUACUGAGCUCAUGACUUCUUCUGCUGGAAGCACAACAGCAUCUGGAAGGAAUACAGCAGACUGUGAGAGCAUUCCACAUCCCAGAGAGGUGUAUUCAGAGAGGGAUGCCAGUCUUUAGGCUUUAUAUCCCUUUACCCUAUUUAACAAAAAUUUCUUACUUAUUGAGGUCACAGCUCUGGUGCCACCCUCUGAGAAUGCAGCACAGGCCCACCAGCCCUUCUCUGCUUACAAGGAAAUGUUUAUUUCCAUAACAUAACUCAUGGAACAAAACUGGGCAUCAUUAUCACUAAGGACAUUUCUUACAAAACCUUGCUAGCAAAAGUAAUUUCAAACAUCUGUCAUAUCUAGGACAGUUACAUUCAUCUGGCCAAAGAAUGUGUGAAAGGGACCUUAAAGCCAUCCUCUUCCAGGACUGCUCACAAGAGCUGAAGAUCGAGGUCCUCAAAAUGGCCCAUUCUGAAGGUACAGAAGUACCUACAGUGACUUCUGCAUCACAGCCUCGAGGUGCAUGACUUGGUUUGUCAUCCGCCUCCUCUGUCUUUUACCAAUAUUUCUAAUGAAACUUCCUCUUCACAGCAGCCACCCACCAGGAUUCCCUGUUCGUUCUGGGGGAGGACAGCCCAUCAACACAAGAUUUUGUAUGUGCUUAGUGAGAUACAGGGAUCCUGACAGGCAGGUAGAGACUGGGGGAAUUUGAUGGCAGCAGAGUUGCAGACUUCAACGUGCUCAAGUGACAUUUUUUCUAAAUGUCAUUGUAUAGACAAAAUGAAGUGAAAGAGGUAUUUUUCCAGCUUAUUUUUUCUCUUCCUUUUUCUAACAUUGAUGAGUUAUUAAGAUACUUCCCAGGUUAUUUUAAUCUCAGUGGGUCAGAGUUGCUUUUUCAAUCUUUUAACAGAGAACAGAGAAGUUACCUGCCCUUAUAGCCUCAUGCGGUGAGCUCAUGGUGGAAGCAGGAAGACCUUUUCGUGGUCCCACCUCUGUCCCAAAGUGCACAGCCAAACCAGAGAUAGGGCUUGGGGGAGUCAAAGGUAUAGAAAACCUCCCAUCAUCACAUCAUCUUAGUGUGUAAAAGUAGACAGUGUGGAGAAGACACCAGUCCCAUUUUAUGCCAGGG
rnacentral:lncRNA from 1 species